CGAGGACUGUGGGGGCCGCCGGAGUGCGGGGCGGAUCACUUGCACACAAAGGGCUCCAUGGACCCGCCUCCGCUGCCCUGGCCGAGCCUCACACACAAUGGAAGGACCUGUCGAGGCCGCACCGAGCCUGCCCCCUCUCUCAGCCAGAGACACCCAGAAAUGCCGCUGAGUUCAGUCCCAGAGCAGGCCGCCUCCCUGCUCAGAAGGGCCCCUGCCAGGAAGCGGGGCGGACAGAGAAAAGCAGGGAACUCCUACACAGCCUUCAAAACUCAAAUAUUUUCUUCUGGAAGCCCCAAAGUUAAUUGUCCCCUCCUCUGUACUCCCAGAGGCUUGGUGCAUAUCCAUAUCAGCAGGCGGCAUUGAACUCUGACUUGGCGUGUGCCCGUCUCACACAGAAGCUAGCUACCUUUGUCUGGGCCGGUGAGAACAGGCGCGGCGAUUGCCAGAAGGUUCUUAGAAAGAACCUCAGUUGAUCAACCACGGCUCCAACAGUGCUCAUAUUUGACAACUUCAGAUUUACUGGGAAGCCUAAAAAUAAUGCCAAAGCUGUGCUUUUUAUAUCCCUCUUUCACUGAAGAAACCUGCCUGCCUUGUCUUUGGGAAGAGGGAGCCUUAAUUAUUAUAUAGACCAUAUGCCCAAUAACUGAUAGAAUAUGGUUAAAUAAAACAUAGCCUCUAACGGAUCGAAUGCA